rnacentral:rRNA from 1 species
AAUGAACGCUGGCGGCAGGCCUAACACAUGCAAGUCGAACGGAUCCUUCGGGAUUAGUGGCGGACGGGUGAGUAACGCGUGGGAACAUACCCUUUGGUACGGAAUAGCCUCGGGAAACUGGGAGUAAUACCGUAUGUGGUCGAGAGACGAAAGACUUAUCGCCAAAGGAUUGGCCCGCGUUGGAUUAGGUAGUUGGUGGGGUAAUGGCCUACCAAGCCGACGAUCCAUAGCUGGUUUGAGAGGAUGAUCAGCCACACUGGGACUGAGACACGGCCCAGACUCCUACGGGAGGCAGCAGUGGGGAAUCUUAGACAAUGGGGGAAACCCUGAUCUAGCCAUGCCGCGUGAUCGAUGAAGGCCUUAGGGUUGUAAAGAUCUUUCAGGUGGGAAGAUAAUGACUGUACCACCAGAAGAAGCCCCGGCUGACUCCGUGCCAGCCGCCGCUGUAA